AUUGAACGCUGGCGGCAGGCCUAACACAUGCAAGUCGCGCGGAUGACGGGAGCUUGCUCCUUGAUUCAGCGGCGGACGGGUGAGUAAUGCCUAGGAAUCUGCCUGGUAGUGGGGGACAACGUUUCGAAAGGAACGCUAAUACCGAAUACGUCCUCAGGGAGAAAGCCGGGGACCUUCGCGCCUUGCGCUAUCAGAUGAGCCUAGGUCGGAUUAGCUAGUUGGUGGGGUAAUGGCUCACCAAGGCGACGAUACGUAACUGGUCUGAGAGGAUGAUCAGUCACACUGGAACUGAGACACGGUCCAGACUCCUACGGGAGGCAGCAGUGGGGAAUAUUGGACAAUGGGCGAAAGCCUGAUCCAGCCAUGCCGCGUGUGUGAAGAAGGUCUUCGGAGUGUAAAGCACUUUAAGUUGGGAGGAAGGGCAGUAAGUUAAUACCUUGCUGUUUUGACGUUACCGACAGAAUAAGCACCGGCUAACUCUGUGCCAGCCGCGCCGUAA
rnacentral:rRNA from 1 species